GGCUAAUAGACCUGAAACACGGAGAAGGAGAGAGAGAAAGAGCGGACGGAGAGAGAAAGGGUAAGAUGUCAUGCUCUGUCUGAUCUCUCACAAUUCCAAAUCGCCGGUCUUCUCCUCCUCCUUCUCCUUCCUCUCCUUCUUCUUCUUCUACUUCAGAAUCCUUCACUCUGUGGUCAAUCCUCAAAGAUGUCUCUGAACAUGAAAACCCUAACGCAAGCCUUGGCUAAGACCGCGGCGGUCAUCGAGAAGAAGGUUCAGACCACCGUGCAGGAGGUCACCGGACCCAAGGCUCUCCAGGACUACGACCUUCUUGAUCAGAUCGCGUCCGCUGGGCCUGGUCUCGCAUGGAGGCUUUACUCGGCUAGGCCCAGGGAACCAUCGCGGCAGCAACAGUACCCCCUUGUUUGUGUUUGGAUCCUGGACAAGCGGGUGCUGUCGGAGGCGCGAAUGCGUGCUGGGCUGACCAAGGCAGCUGAAGAUUCGUUUUUGGAUUUGAUUCGGGCCGAUGCGGGUAAACUGGUGCGAUUGAGGCAUCCCGGGGUAGUGCAUGUAGUGCAAGCGUUGGAUGAGAGCAAGAAUGCUAUGGCGAUGGUGACUGAACCCUUGUUUGCAUCGGUGGCUAAUACUCUUGGGAACCUGGAGAAUGUUGCGAAUGUUCCUAAGGAGCUCAGGGGAAUGGACAUGGGACUGUUGGAAGUGAAGCAUGGCUUACUUCAGGUAGCAGAAUCACUGGACUUCUUGCACAACCAUGCCCAUCUUAUUCAUCGCGCGAUAUCACCUGAGAAUAUUCUUAUCACUUCAAGUGGAGCUUGGAAACUUGGCGGAUUUGGUUUUGCAGUUUCAGCAGCUCAGGCCUCUGGUGACUCGACUAAUCUGCAAGCUUUCCAUUAUGCUGAAUAUGAUGUCGAGGACUCUAUUCUUCCACUACAGCCAUCACUUAAUUACACCGCUCCUGAGCUGGUUAAAAGCACUGUGUCAUCAGCUGGGUGGGCUUCUGAUAUUUUCAGUUUUGGUUGCGUUGCUUACCAUUUAAUUGCUCGCAGGCCUUUGUUUGACUGCCACAACAAUGUGAAGAUGUACAUGAAUACUCUGACUUACUUAUCCAGUGACACAUUCUCAUCUAUUCCACCGGAGUUGGUUCCUGACUUGCAGAGGAUGCUAUCUUCAAACGAGUCUUCAAGACCAACUGCAACGGCUUUUACUGGGUCCCCCUUUUUUCGGAAUGACACUAGGUUGCGUGCUCUGCGCUUCCUUGACCAUAUGCUUGAAAGAGAUAACAUGCAGAAGACAGAAUUCUUAAAAGCUUUGUCAGACAUGUGGAAAGAUUUUGACAGCCGUGUAUUGCGGUACAAGGUCCUUCCGCCUCUCUGUGCUGAGCUUAGGAAUGUGGUGAUGCAGCCAAUGAUUCUUCCUAUGGUUCUAACUAUUGCGGAGUCUCAGGAUAAAAGUGAUUUUGAGAUUACAACUCUUCCAGCACUUGUUCCUGUCUUGAGUGCUGCAGCUGGUGAGACAUUGUUGCUGCUUGUGAAGCAUGCAGAGCUUUUAAUAAACAAGACUAGUCAGGAUCAUUUAGUUUCACAUGUUCUGCCAAUGGUUGUUCGGGCUUUCGAUGAGAAUGAUGCUCGUGUUCAAGAAGAGGUUCUGAAGAAAUCUGUAUCCCUUGCUAAGCAACUUGAUACCCAGCUGGUCAAACAAGUGGUUUUGCCUCGUGUUCAUGGUUUAGCGCUUAAAACGACAAUUGCUGCGGUUAGAGUCAAUGCCUUGCUGUGCUUAGGAGACAUGGUUAUCCGACUUGAUAAACCUGCUGUCCUAGACAUCUUGCAGACUAUUCAGCGCUGUACUGCUGUUGACCGUUCUCCUCCUACCCUUAUGUGUACACUUGGGGUUGCAAAUGCUAUUUAUAAGCGGUAUGGAGUAGAGUUUGUUGCUGAGCAUGUGCUUCCUUUGGUUAUACCCCUCCUGACAACUCAACAACUGAAUGUUCAGCAGUUUGCCAAAUAUAUGCUCUUUGUGAAGGAUAUGCUAAGGAUGAUAGAGGAGAAGCGAGGAGUGGUUGUGACACAGUCUGGAAUCCCUGAGGUCACCAAACCAUUUCCUCCAAUUAAUGGUCUUCACAAUGAAGCCACUGCUAAAACAAACAGCACUGUUGCUUCAACCAAGAGCAGCUCUUCUUGGGAUGAAGAUUGGGGUGGCACUAUGAAAGGGAGCACCACUUCUUCCCAAAGUUUUACUGACAAAUCAAGUCAACCUGUGCCAGGAAUCCCAAUGGGUCAAAUAACAUCCUCACAGCAACAUUCAUCCUCAUCUGCUGUGUCUAAUCAGCAGGCUACAAUUUCAUGCCCCUCAGUCGAUAUAGAGUGGCCUCCUCGUGCUUCUGCUGCUGGUAACCAAUAUUUAGGUGAUUCUGAGAGUCACAUGAAGACAACAGGAACGUCUUCUACGUCUACUCUUGAUGACAUUGAUCCUUUCGCUAAUUGGCCUCCACGUCCUAGCAGCUCACUAGGUGGACCUGGAAGUUCCAACAAUGGUGCUUCAGGACCUCCACUAGACAAAAAUGGACCUAGUUUAAUGUCAAACGCUUCAAACGCUAGGAAUAAUCAAACUACCAAUAGUUGGUCUUUUAAAACCCCAAGUUCAGAAGAUCCAAUUGGUUUGAGCCUUGGUAAUUCCAGUUCAACCACUGGUAGUCUGCAUGGUGGUAUAAAAUCGCAGAACUCUCUUGCGUACUUAAAGCAGAGUCAGGGAUUUCCAGCAUCCAAUGUUCCACAGACAGAGAACAAGUCCACAGAUCUUGGAUCCAUCUUUGCUUCUGAUCAGAAUGACCUGAUUGCACCUAAGCUUGCACCACCGCCCUCAACUGCCGUGGGCAGAGGUAGAGGAAGAGGAAGAGGAAGAGGGAGGGGAGCUGGUUCAAGCAUGAGGUCCGCUCAUCCCAAGUCUGAGGAGCCACCCCUUAUGGAUUUGUUGGGAUAGCUUGCUUCUGUGGCCAAUUUAGAGUAUCAGGGCAAUGAACACGGUUGAGAUUGUGUUAUAUUUUGUGAUUGCCUUUCAAUGCUGGACACUUGGAACAUGUUCGCACUGGCACCGCAAAAGAUCAUGCAAGGCAAAGGAGGUGAUAACCUCGUUCUGUAAAGGUAUAUGAUGGGUGAGGAUUACUUUAUCAGUUACUGCUAUCAUUUCCCUUGCAAAUUUACAAAGUAUGAGUACAUCACUAACAUUACUUGUGGAUUAUUUUCAAUAAGGUAAAUUGAUUCACAAAAAAUGGCAAUGAUUAUUAUAAGUUAGUUUGAGCUGUAAAAUUAUGUACGAAGUCUUUUUGGAUUUUUGGGCAAAAAUGUAAGAAGCCCCGCGGGUGAGUGUAGUAUUAGGAUGAGUUAUUGGUUCAUAUAUGUAAUGAGUUCAAAACUUAAAAUAUCGUCAUAAUUGCAUUAUAACAAAACAGGUUAUAGCCUUUGAUGUUCAUUGACGGUAA